GACGAACCGUGCGAACGUUGUUCGGAAUCACUGGGCUUAAAGGGCGCGUAGGCGGGUGAUCAAGUCAGGGGUGAAAUCCUUCCGCUCAACGGGAGAACAGCUUCUGAUACUGGUCAUCUUGAGGGGGUAGGGGCAUGUGGAAGCUUCCGGUGGAGCGGUGAAAUGCGUAGAUAUCGGAAGGAACGCCGAGUGGCAGAAGCGAACGUGCUGGACCCUUUCUGACGCUGAGGCGCGAAAGCCAGGGGAGCAAACGGG
rnacentral:rRNA from 1 species